rnacentral:lncRNA from 1 species
GGGAGGAGGUGGCUGCGGAGGGAAGGAGGUAGUGGCGCCGGCGGUAGAGGGGAGGAGGUGGAGUGGUGCCGGCAGUGGAGAGGAGGGGGUAGCGGCGCCGGCGCUGGAGGGGAGGAGUGGAUAGGAGGGGGUAGCGGCGCUGGCGCCGAAGGGGAGGAGAGGCGGGGCGGCGGCGGUGCGGGAGGGGAGGAGAAGGGGGACGGCGGUGGCGUCGUGGAGGAAAGGUGGGGUGGCGAAGGGGCAGGUAGUGGAGCGGAGGGGCAACGUUAGUCUGGGAGAGAUGCGCAACAGCUAAAAGGCAGGUGGCGACGGGGGAGGGAGGAGGGGUAGUAGUGGCUAGGAUUUAGAUUUAGUUUUAUAUGGGGUGAAGGUAAUGAGCCAAUACGAGUCUGCAUCCUAAAAUCAUGCUGGGCCGGGCCGUCUGUCGUGCUAGGGUGAUGGUCCACACCAGGCACCAGUGGCGGAGGGAGGGGGGCAGGGGGGCUUGGCACCCCCUGACCCUGUCGGGCACCACCCAUCAGCAGUGGCUGUGGCACCCCUUGUGGCCUGGCCGCCUAGCCUCCUGCACCUAAUAUUAGACUAUCAGUCUGUCAUGGUGGCCUGAGGGACGGUUGGAGUUGGAAGCUGCUGCUGGAGAUUUUUAGGCCUGGCUGGGCACUGGCCCAAUUAAAA